CAGCCUCCCAGUAUAGGAUAAUUUCUUGGCAGUCCAUGAAAUGAUCUUAGCAGUAAUCUUCUCCACUAAAGGUUGCCAUUGAAUCAAGGCAAUCUUUUUGGUGGACAGAGGCAUACCAAGAUAUUUGAAUGGCAAUUCUCCAUGAGCAAAACCAAGGUGAUCAGUAAUCUGUCUCUGCACUGCCUGUGUCAAUCCCCCAAAAUACACUGAGCUUUUUCCCAGAUUAGCCUGCAAUCCUGAAG
rnacentral:lncRNA from 1 species